AUGGCCUCCAUUCCCACAAUUCUCACUACCCUUUUCUUCUUUCUCCUCAAAUCUACAAUUUCCCAACAAAUCAACACAAACCCAAAAGACCCAGAUUGUACUGACCGUUGGAUCCACAUCAGACGCCUCCCCUCGCGUUUCAACACCGAUCUAUUAUCAAACUGUUCAGAAUACCCACUCUUCGAUGAUUUCUGUCCUUACCUUCCAAACCGUGGCCUCGGCCAAAGGACUCAUUCCAAGUCCCACAGUUGGUUCCGCACAGACCCGUUGAUGCUCGAACUCAUCUUCCAUCGUCGGAUGCUCGAGUACCCUUGUCUCACACCUGAUCCCAACUCCGCUAACGCCGUUUAUCUCCCUUACUACGGUGGCAUCGACUCUCUCCGUUAUCUCUACGGCCCUGACGUUAAUUCCAGCGCGGAACACGGCCUCGAGUUGUUCGAUUUCGUUAAGGAACAAGACAGUCCCAACGUUUGGGCUCGACACAAAGGCCACGACCAUUUCUUAGUCAUGGCUCGACCCGCGUGGGACUUGUCGCAACCUUUGUACAAAGACCCUCCUGUUUGGGGUACUUCGUUCCUCGAACUCCCUGAGUUCUAUAACGUUACGGUGCUGACGUUUGAGGCUCGAGCUUGGCCUUGGCAAGAACGUGCGGUGCCUUAUCCGACAUCGUUUCACCCACCAAACCUCUCGUUGUUGGAGUCGUGGAUACGCCGCGUGAGGCGGUCGAGAAGGUCGACACUGAUGCUUUUCGCCGGUGGUGGCGGCGUCGCGGCCACCCGGAAUAUUCGGCGGAGUAUUAGAGACGAAUGUGGGAAUGAUACAAAUAGUAAUGCUAAGUAUAGUAAUGGGUACGUGAAGUUAUGUGAAAUUGUGGAUUGCUCAAAUGGGAUAUGCGAGCACGACCCAAUUAGGUACAUGAAGCCAAUGUUAGAAGCGAGCUUUUGUUUGCAGCCACCAGGGGACACACCGACGAGGAGGUCCACGUUUGAUAGCAUUCUGGCCGGUUGUAUUCCGGUUUUCUUCGAGGAAUUGUCGGCGAAAAUGCAGUACAAGUGGCACAUGCCGGAGGAGGAGUACGAGGAGUUCUCGGUGUUUAUACCAAAAGAAGAGGUGGUAUAUAAGGGGCUGAAGAUUUUGGACGUGUUGAUGAGUAUACCUAGAGAUAGAGUUUGGAGGAUGAGGGAGAAGGUGUUGGAGUUAAUGCCAAGAGUUAUGUACAGAAGACAUGGGAGUUCGGUGGAUUUAAGGACCAAGAAGGAUGCAUUUGAUAUUGCAGUUGAAGGUACUUUGCAGAGAAUUAAGUCUAGGCUUCAAGGAGUGGCCGUUCAGUGACUUUUAAUUAAUUAGAUGAUACUAUGAUAGAUUCUGUUUUUAUUUCUUCUCUGUAUAUGUAAUUUAUUGUUGUUUUUUUUUUUUUUUUACUUAACUUUUUGUUUUAAUUUACUUUUAUCUCACGAUAUUUACUGCGGAUGUAACAGCAGGGAGGAGAAUUAUACUACUUGUAUCUCAAUUUGGUAACAAGUAACAAGAAGAUUUUGUUUUGCUUCUGGUAACUUUAUGGUGUUUUUCAUUUAUUUGUGUGGAUUUCAGAUAUUGUAACUCAUUGGUAA
rnacentral:sRNA from 1 species